AUUGACCGCUGGCGGCAUGCCUAACACAUACAAGUCGAACGGGGCAGCAAUGCCUAGUGGCGGACGGGCGAGGAAUACGUAGGAAUCUGCCCUUAAGUGGGGGAUAACCAGGGGAAACCCUGACUAAUACCGCAUGAUCUCUUCGGAGCAAAGAGGGGGACCGCAAGGCCUCUCGCUUCUGGAUGAGCCUACGUCUGAUUAGCUAGUUUGUAGGGUAAAGGCCUACCAAGGUGACGAUCAGUAACUGGUCUGAGAGGAUGAUCAGUCACAUCGGAACCGCGCCACGGACCAGACUCCGCCGGGAGGCAGCAGUGGGGAAUAUUGGACGAUGGGCGCAAGCUUGACCCAGCAAUGCCGCGUGUGUGAAGAAGGCUUUCGGGUUGUAAAGAACUUUAGCCUGGAAAGAAAAAACUUUGGUUAACACCCAAAGUCUUCACGGUACCAGGAGAAUAAGCACCGGCUAACUCUGUGCCAGCAGCCGCCGUAAAAC
rnacentral:rRNA from 1 species